CUUUGUAGGAGUCCCGGUGGGUCGUUUUGCUCUUGGUUGAGAUUCGAGAGAAGCCCAACCAAACGGAAUCUUCUCCACCAAGAAUUUGCUUUCACCCCAUUGAUCUGCGCGCGCGACGCGAGACGACCAAGACGACGACUACGAGGUUUCCUGCCCUCGCAGGAACGCUUUCAUACCUUGACGGCGACGGCGAUUUGGUUGGAUUUUUUUUUUCCAGAUCCGCGUCAAUAUCAUCAUCGCGGGCCACUCUCUUUGGUGGAUGCGUGUGCAGGGUGUGGGCUGGGAGGCGACGUGGACAAGCACCGGCAGUCUUCCAUCCAUCGACACCGGGUCACCAACCCCCUCUCCUUGGAAUUUUUCGCCAAGUGGCUUUGCUCCCUAAUUCCUAGAGGAACUUUGCCAUCACUCUGAAACAUCAGAGGCGUAGAUUCUCUGUGGAGGAUGUCAUUGGCCAUCUGAGUGUUGAGUAGAAUUCGAGGGCAAAGGACUCGCACAAAAAAGGGGCCGAAGGGACUUCUGUAGCCAACAUGGUGAACCAGAGGAAUUUCAACUCCCACAAGACCAAGGGAAAGAACGGUGUCCAACACAAUACCGACUUUAAGAAGGGUAAGAAGACCUUCAAGAAGAACAAGAAGGAUGAGGGCUGCUUUACUUGUGGUUCGGUUGAACAUUGGGCCAACAAGUGCCCAAACAAGUUUAAGAAGUCAGGACAGGACUCCAAGUCUGUCAACAUGAUUGUGGGCAACAACGAGAAUGGUGCAUCUACGGUCACAGGCGACGGGUCCGUACUGAUGGGGAAUGGCGCGAGUGCUUCUGUUCAUGGUGUUGGCACGGUCGAUCUGAAGUUUACUUCGGGAAGGACCGUGCAGCUGAAGAACGUGCAGCAUGUCCCUGCCAUCAAGAAGAAUCUCGUUAGUGGCUCCCUUCUAUGUAGAGAAGGGUUUAAGUUGAUAUUCGAGUCUAAUAAAUUAGUUGUUACUAAGUAUGAACUAUUUGUUGGAAAAGUUUUUUUUGAGAGAAUUUGUUGGAAAAGGUUAUGAGAGCGAAGGGACGUUCCGCCUUGCCCUCGCAGAUUUUUUAAAUAAAGUUGUGAGCCAUAUUCAUUCGAGUGUUAAUGAAUCUGAAGUUUGGCAUU